UACGGGGGGGGCAAGCGUUGUUCGGAAUUACUGGGCGUAAAGGGCUCGUAGGCGGCCAACUAAGUCAGACGUGAAAUCCCUCGGCUUAACCGGGGAACUGCAUCUGAUACUGGAUGACUUGAGAUUGGGAGAGGGAUGCGGAAUUCCAGGUGUAGCGGUGAAAUGCGUAGAUAUCAGGAGGAACACCAGUGGCGAAGGCGGCUUUCUGGACGGUAACUGACGCUGAGACGCGAAAGCGUGGGGAGCAAACAGG
rnacentral:rRNA from 1 species